UGCUUCUCUUCUAAACUCGAUCUCAAAUCAAGUAAGACUACCCGCUGAACUUAAGCAUAUCAAUAAGCGGAGGAAAAGAAACUAACAAGGAUUCCCCUAGUAACGGCGAGUGAAGCGGGAUGAGCUCAAAUUUGAAAUCUGGCUGGUUUGACUAGUCCGAGUUGUAGUUUAAAGAGGCGUUUUCGGUGGCAGCCUGGGUACAAAUCCUUUGGAACAGGGUAUCAUAGAGGGUGAGAAUCCCGUCUCUGACUCAGUGCAUGCUACUAUGUGAUACGUCUUCAAAGAGUCGAGUUGUUUGGGAAUGCAGCUCAAAAUGGGUGGUAAAUCUCAUCUAAGGCUAAAUACCGGCGAGAGACCGAUAGCGAACAAGUACCGUGAGGGAAAGAUGAAAAGAACUUUGAAAAGAGAGUUAAACAGUGCGUGAAAUUGUUGAAAGGGAAACGUUUGACACCAGUUUUGCGGGUGGAAAAUCAGUCGCGUUGCAGUGGGGAGUGGUUGGAGUUCAGACCGCAAGGCUGGCUUUGAUCUCAUCUUUGCUGUGGGUGAUGCACUUUUUCAUUUGCAGGUCAACAUCAGUUUCUUCUGCUGGACAAAACCCUAAGAGAAUGUGGCAGCUUUGGCUGUGUUAUAGCUCUGGGGCGAUACAGUGGUGGGGACUGAGGUUUCGCAGUGUGUGCUCUCGGGCAAGGCUGACUGGGCGCUAUGGGGUGGUUCGGCGUACAAUGCAUGCAUUUUGCGUCGUGUCCGUUCUGUACUCGUUUGGCUCAGCUCUUCCACGCUUAGGAUGUUGACAUAAUG
rnacentral:rRNA from 1 species